CCUCUCCAGAGACUAUUCAUUUCAUUCCCGCCCAUCUGAAAACUGAAGAACUCCGCAGACCCUCAGACCCGCAGACCCGUAGGGGGUUCGCUUUCACUGCAGGAAGAGAUGCUGUAAACAGAGGUACACAGCCAAUCCAUCUUCACACCCGGAAAUGAGACGGCAGUGAGACAGGCCUAGAAGCAAAGCUGGUGAUUGCUGCGAAACUCGAUGCUAUCAGGCCCAAGAAUUGGCCAGGAAAGGGCUCAACACAGACAGGACCACUCAGAAAAACAGUAAGAUAAAGCACUGGAGGCAGGCGGCCGGCUGUGCGGACGCGACGGAGAGGCCGACAGAAGGUGAGUGCUGUGGGCUAUGGGAUGGAUGAGGCAGAGCAGGACCAGCAUGAGGCCCGACUCAAGGAGCUGUUUGACAGUUUUGACACAACGGGCACUGGAUCCCUGGGACAGGAGGAACUCACUGACCUUUGCCACAUGUUGAGCUUGGAGGAGGUGGCCCCGGUGCUGCAAGAGACGCUGCUUCAGGACAACCUCUUGGGCAGGGUGCAUUUUGACCAAUUUAAAGAAGCAUUAAUACUUAUCUUGUCUAGAACUCUAUCAAAUGAAGAACACUUUCAAGAACCAGCAUCUGUGGGUGUCAGCUGCCAACAAGUAGCUCGGGUGUCUGGGCCGCUCCUGAAUGCUCACAUGCUGACACACUCUCUUCUGAUAAAAGCUCCGAAGCUCAUGAAGAGAAAAGAACAUGACUGCACUCUAGAAGCUCAACCCAAAUAUGUUAGAGGUGGGAAGCGCUAUGGACGGAGAUCCUUACCCGAGUUUCAAGAAUCCGUGGAGGAGUUUGCAGAGGUGACAGUGAUUGAGCCACUAGAUGAGGAAGCACGGCCUUCACACAUCCCAGCCAGCGACCGAAGUGAGCACUGGAAGACGCAGCGCAGCGAAGAGUAUGAAGCAGAAGGUCAGUUAAGAUUUUGGAACCCAGAUGAUUUAAAUGCCUCAAAAAGUGGGUCUUCCCCUCCUCAAGACUGGAUAGAAGAGAAACUACAGGAGGUUUGUGAAGAUUUGGGGAUUACCCGUGAUGGUCACCUGAACCGAAAGAAGCUGGUCUCCAUCUGCGAGCAGUAUGGUUUACAGAAUGUCGAUGGAGAGAUGCUUGAAGAAGUCUUCCAUAAUCUUGAUCCCGAUGGUACAAUGAGUGUAGAAGAUUUUUUCUAUGGCUUAUUCAAAAACGGAAAGUCCCUUACACCUUCAGCAUCUACCCCAUACAGACAAUUGAAAAGGCACCUCUCUAUGCAGUCUUUCGAUGAGAGUGGACGACGGACCACAACCCCAUCUGCAAUGAUGAGUACCAUUGGCUUUCGGGUCUUCUCCUGCCUGGAUGAUGGGAUGGGCUAUGCAUCAGUGGAGAGAAUACUUGAUACCUGGCAAGAAGAGGGCAUUGAGAACAGCCAGGAGAUCCUGAAGGCCUUGGAUUUCAGCCUUGAUGGAAAUGUCAACUUGACAGAAUUGACGCUGGCUCUUGAAAAUGAGCUUUUGGUUACCAAGAACAACAUUCACCAGGCGGCUCUGGCCAGCUUUAAGGCUGAGAUCCGGCAUUUGCUGGAGCGAGUUGAUCAAGUGGUCAGAGAAAAAGAGAAGCUACGGUCAGAUCUGGACAAAGCUGAGAAGCUCAAGUCUCUAAUGGCCUCAGAGGUGGAUGAUCACCAUGCAGCCAUAGAGCGGCGGAAUGAGUACAACCUCAGGAAACUGGAUGAAGAGUACAAAGAGCGAAUAGCAGCCUUAAAGAACGAGCUGCGAAAGGAGAGAGAGCAGAUUCUGCAGCAGGUGGGCAAGCAGCGUUUGGAACUUGAACAGGAAAUUGAAAAAGCAAAAACAGAAGAAAAUUACAUCCGGGACCGCCUUGCCCUCUCUUUAAAGGAAAACAGUCGUCUGGAAAACGAGCUUCUGGAAAAUGCAGAGAAGUUGGCAGAGUAUGAGAAUCUGACAAACAAACUUCAGCGAAAUUUGGAAAAUGUUUUGGCAGAAAAGUUUGGUGAUCUUGAUCCCAGCAGUGCUGAAUUCUUUUUGCAAGAAGAAAGGCUGACACAGAUGAAAAAUGAGUAUGAGCAGCAGUGCAGGCUAUUACAAGACCAAGUAGAUGAACUCCAGUCUGAACUGGAAGAAUAUCGUACACAAGGCAAAGUGUUCAGACUUCCCUUGAAGAACUCACUGUCAGAAGAACUUGAUAUUAACAGUGGUUGCAUUGAGCCUGACCAGGGGCUUGGUUCUGAAGAAUGCAAUCCAUUGAAUAUGAGUAUCGAGGCAGAGCUGGUCAUCGAACAGAUGAAAGAACAACAUCACAGGGACUUGGGUCACCUAAGAUUGGAGCUUGAAGAUAAAGUGCACCAUUAUGAAAAACAGCUAGAUGAAACCAAGCUUGCCUGUAAAAAGGAGCAGGAGAACAUGAAGCAAAAGUAUGAGAAUGAAGUGCACAUCUUGGAAGAACAAAUAAACGACCUUAAAAGUGAAAUUGCAGAACUUCAGGGCCAGACAAUGGUACUCAAGGAGACACAACAUACAACUAUCUGUAGACAUGAGGAGGAGAAAAAACAAUUGCAAAUGAAGUGGGAGGAGGAAAAGGCUCUCCUACAGGAGGAGCUGAGGCUGAAACACGAGCUGGAGCUCAAGGCUAAGCUGGAGCAGGUGGAAGAAAGCUUUAAUGGAGAGAGGGAAAAACUCAUUCAAAAUGGGACCUGGACAGAUGAGAAGGUGAGAAACUUGACUCAGGAACUAGAACAAGUUCACCAGGAACAACUGAAAAGCCUGGUGGAGAAGCACAAUCUUGAGAAAAAGGAAUUGCAAAAAGAGCUCUUGGAAAAAUACCAAAGCGAACUACAAGAGGGAAGGGAAAAAAUGGAAACUGAGUGUAAUAGAAGAACCUCUCAGAUAGAAGCCCAGUUUCAGGCUGAUUGUCAGAAAGUCACUGAGAGAUGUGAAAAUGCCCUGCGAAGUCUGGAGGGGUACUACCGCCAAGAGCUGAAAGAGCUCCUGGAACAACAACAUGAGGAGAGAUCCCAAUGGGAGUUUGAGAAGGACGAGCUCACUCAGGAGUGUGCAGAAGCCCAGGAGCAGCUUAAAGUGGCUCUCCAAAGAGAGAAAGCAGCUUCUCUGGUCCUGACCCAGGAGAGAGAGAUGCUAGAGAAAACAUACAAAGAACAUCUGAACAGCAUGGUUGUUGAGAGAGAGCGGCUACUCAAAGACCUAGAAGAUCUAAGAAGUGUGUCUGAAAAUCAGCAAAGUCUACUGUCCAACCAGAUACUUGAGCUAAAGAGCAGUCAUGAAAGAGAGCUAAAAGCCCAUGAGCAGGUCCUGUGCCAGGCAGGUGCCUCCAAGCAGCAGGCCAGCCAGAGGCUUGAAAGGCUAGAAAUGGAACGUGACCAGGAGAGGCAGGAAAUGAUGUCCAAGCUUCUGGCCAUGGAGAGCAUCCACAAAGCCACCUGUGAGAAAGCAGAACAAGAAAGGGCUCAGAUGAGCGUAGAAAUCUCCAGGCUCCAGAAUAAAAUUAAGGAAAUGGAGCAGGUGGCAUCCCCUCCCUCCAGGCUUCAGAAUGGCUGCCAGGCAAUGGAAGGGGAGGAGGCAGAAGGAAGUGGAGCCAUGUCCCUGCUCCAGCAAGGAGAGCAGCUGUUAGAGGAGAAUGGAGAUGUCCUCUUAAGCCUGCAAAGAGCUCAUGAACGAGCAGUGAAGGAAAAUGUGAAAAUGGCUGCUGAAAUUUCUAGGUUGCAACAGAGGCUGCAGAAAUUAGAGCCAGAGUCAAUAAUGUCUACUUGUUUAGAUGAGCCAACUACUGGGUUUUUUCAAAAUUCUGUGGAACAAACAGAGCCAAUUUUACUGCACAACCAAGUAAGCCACGUAGAAGGUGGGACCAUGAAGCACGUCCCAAGUGACCAGCAAGGCAGUGAAAUCCAGGACCUAGAAAGUACAGAGACGAGCUCUGGUCAGAGACAGGAGGUCAGAAUAGAGGAGUCAGAAGCAUCAAUAGAGAGUUUUUCUGAGCUCGAAAAUAGCGAGGAGACCAGGACUGAGACCUGGGAACUGAAGAAUCAGAUUAGCGAGCUUCAGAAACAGCUAAUGACCUUACGUGCAGACUGUGAUCGAGCUUCUGAAAAGAAACAGGACCUACUUUUUGAUGUUUCUGUGCUAAAGAAGAAAUUAAAGAUGCUUGAAAGACUCCCUGAAGCUUCUCCCAGGUAUAAAUUGUUAUAUGAAGAUGCCAGCAGAGAAAAUGAGUGUCUUCAGGAAGAGCUGAGAGUGAUAGAGACACGCUAUGAUGAAGCACUAGAAAAUAACAAAGAACUCACUUCAGAAAUGUUCAGAUUACAGGAUGAGCUUAAGAAAGUUGAAGAAGUGACUGAAACAUUCCUUAGCCUGGAAAAGAGUUAUGAUGAGGUCAAAAGAGAAAAUGAGGAACUGCACAUUCUGGUUUUAAGACUUCAAGGCAAGAUUGAGAAGCUGCAAGAAAGAGCAGUGCUGCAGUGUGACUGCUUUUCCGUAUGGGAAACCCGUUUAGAUAACCUGGAAGUCUUACCUGAUGAAAAGGUCCUUGAACUCGAUCAGACACUGAAGGAGCAUGGGCCAAAGCUUAUGAAUGUGCACCACUUUAUAGAAGAACAUUAUCAAGAAAACCAGGGCCUUGAGCAGGAGAAUACGCAGCUCUUAGAAAAAGUAAAAGCACACGAAAUUGCCUGGCUACAUGGAACACUCCAUAUGCAUCAAGAAAAGCCUGGAGUACAGAACCAAGUUAUCCUGGAAGAAAACACUGCUCUCCUCAGCCUUCAAGACAAACAUUUUCAGCGCCAGGCCACAAUCGCAGAGUUAGAACUAGAGAAAAAAAAGCUGCAGGAGCUGACUAGAAAGUUGAGGGAAAGAGUCACUGCUUUAGUUAAGCAAAAAGAUGUACUUGCUCAAGGAGAAAAGGAGGAAGAGCUGAAGGCAAUGAUGCAUGACUUGCAAAUCACGUGCAGUGAGAUGCAGCAAAAAGUUGAGCUUCUGAGAUAUGAAUCUGAGAAGCUUCAAGAGGAAAAUUCUAUUUUGAGAAAUGAAAUUACUACUCUAAAUGAAGAAGACAGCAUUUCUAACCUGCAAUUAGGAAAAUUAAAUGGAUCUCAGGAAGAAAUACGCCAAAAAAUAGAAACCGUAAAACAAGAAAAAGCUGCAGUUCAGAAGAUAGUUGAAAGUUUAAAGAAACAGAUUUCAGAAUUAAAAACCAAAAACCAACAGUUGGAUCUGGAAAAUACAGAGCUUAGCCAAAAGAAUUCUCAAAAUCAGAAAGAACUGCAAGAACUUAAGCAACGUCUGGCAGAAAUGCUAUGCCAGAAAGAUAAAGAGCCAGGACACAGUACAUAUGAGGAAUGGGAACAAGAAAAAUCUAAUCUGGAAGAAGAACUGGAACACUGUAAAGUGAAGUCCUCCACUCUCGUGUCUUCUCUGGAGGCAGAACUUUCUGAAGUUAAAAUACAGACUCAUAUUGUAGAACAGGAAAACCUCCUUCUCAAAGAUGAACUGGAGAAAAUGAAACAACUGCACAGAUGUCCUGAUCUCUCUGACUUCCAGCAAAAAGUUUCUAGUGUUCUAAGCUACAAUGAAAAACUGCUUAAAGAAAAGGAAGCACUAAGUGAAGAAUUAAAUAUCUGUGUUGAUAAGUUGGCAAAAUCAAGUCUUUUAGAGCACAGAAUUGCUGCUAUGAAGCAAGAACAGAAGUCUUGGGAACACCAGAAUGAAAGCUUAAAGUCACAGCUAGUGGCUUCACAGGAAAAGGUUCAGAAUUUAGAAGACACCCUGCAGAAUGUAAACCUGCAAAUGUCCCAGAUUAAAUCUGACCUACGCAUGACUCAGCAGGAAAAGGAAGCUUUAAAACAAGAAGUAAUGUCUUUACACAAGCAGCUUCAGAAUGCUGGUGACAAGAACUGGGCCCCCGAAGUAGCUACCCACCCAUCAGGAUUCCCUAACCAACAGCAAAGGCUGUCCUGGGACAAGUUGGAUCAACUGAUGAAUGAGGAACAACAGCUGCUUUGGCAAGAGAAUGAGAGACUCCAGACCGUGGUACAGAACACCAAAGCAGAACUCAUUCACUCCCGGGAGAAGGUACGUCAACUGGAAUCCAACCUUCUUCUUCCUAAGCACCAAAAACAUCUAAGCUCAUCAGGUACCAUGAAGCCCCCAGAGCAAGAGAAGUUGAGCCUAAAGAGAGAAUGUGAACAGGUUCAAAAGGAACGAUCUCCUACUAAUAGGAAGGUUAGUCAGAUGAAUUCCCUUGAACGAGAAUUAGAAACAAUUCAUUUAGAAAAUGAAGGCCUGAAAAAGAAACAAGUAAAACUGGAUGAGCAGCUAAUGGAGAACUCUGUGGUUGGAACUAGCAGAGAAGGGUGCAGUUCUCUGCCUGAGAUAGUGUGUGAAGAUGCAGCAUCUGAGGUCCACUAUGUUUAGCCCCUCCCCUAAUGCUUGGGAUCUGCAGUUGCUCCAGCAGCAAGCUUGUCCGAUGGUUCCCAGGGAGCAGUUUCUGCAGCUUCAACACCAGCUGCUGCAGGCAGAAAGGAUAAACCAGUGCCUGCAGGAGGAACUUGAACACAGGACUUCCGAAACCAACACACCACAGGAAAACCAGGAACACCUGGUAACUGUGAUGGAGGAAAGAAUGAUGGAAGUUGAACAGAAAUUGAAACUGGUGAAAAGGCUUCUUCAGGAGAAAGUGAAUCAGCUCAAAGAACAACUCUGCAAGAAUACUAAAGCAGAUGCAAUGGUGAAGGAUUUGUAUGUUGAAAAUGCCCAGUUAUUAAAAGCUCUGGAAAUGACUGAACAGCGACAAAAAACAGCAGAGAAGAAAAAUUACCUCCUAGAAGAGAAGAUUGCCAGCCUCAGUAACAUAGUCAGGAAUCUGACACCAGCACCACUGACUUCUACACCUCCCCUGAGGUCAUAGCCAAGCCAAAGAAAAACUCAUAGUUGUGCACUUUACUGACAUGAAUGAAACAUUUCAGUUUGUUCUCUCAACCUUUUUUAAAAAACAAAACAAAACCUUUGAUGGCUUAAAGUUAAUAAGCCUAACCUAAAACAUGUAGCAACAUAAUUAAAAUCUUAAUUUAUUGUAAUUAGGUUUUCGAAAUAGACUGUAAUGGGUAUUGCAAACAAAUACAUAUUUUGCUGUCUAAAUUAUUCCCUACUUCGAUUAAAAAAAAAAAUUCUAACAGCCACCAAGAAGGUAAUGGGAAAACAACUGAAGACUUUCUGGCCUGGAAACUUCCUCAUGCUGUGGGCAUGGCCAUAAUACAAAACAGCAACAAAAAAAAAAAUUAAAACCCCAAUUUUGAAUGAGUUUAAAAAAUCGUUAUUAUAUAUGUUUAUAUGUAAAUUGCAGAUAUUUUAAAUUUGAGAUAUUAUGAGUUUUUAUUUUUAUUUUAAAACCAAAUGCAUGUUUUCUUACACAUUUAAAUAUGGAAAAGUCAUUCUGUUUCUAACGGGUUUGGGUUUUUGAACUAAUUGGUAGACUUACUGUUCGGUAGCAGAAGCUGGACUCGGUAGCCACUGAGGUCAGAGAAGCCUUAGAGUCCUUAGAACUCUAUCUUCUCCACCUGUGACAGUAUUAUGACUCUUGAUGUAUCACAGAUUUAAAACUGAUUUACUCAACUACACUGCUACCUAAUGCUACCUAUUACUCUCUUUAAACAGUCGUGGGUUUUUUUGUUUUUUGUCCUUCUUAGAAGUUUCAUUUUGGAGCUUGUUUAAGGAAUGGAUAAAGCCACAUUUGAACUAUAGGGUAAGCACUGAACAAACUGUUUUGGAGUAAACAGCUACUCUUAGAAAAGAAAGAGAAGCAGAUUCUCUUAAAGACUUGGAGUUCAUGAACUUAUAUUUGGGGUUGCCUCAAGAACUCAGGGAACAAUACUUUAAGCCGUUUUUCUCAAAUAUCAUAGGGCCUCUUUAAGAAUUUGAAACAUAUAAAUUAUGUGACCUUAUUUAUUUGUCUUACAUUUAGAGCCAUAGUGGGAUUUUUAUUUCUACCUUUUCAGUGAAUUUUACCUUCUGAAAAAAGGCCUUAAUUUUAGAGUUAAAGACUUCUAACAUAAGGAAGACUUAUUUGCUAGUUUGUUUGAUAUAGGUCAAAAUGUCUAUGCUUCCUCUUCCUCUGCACGGCAAAUCCUGAUCUUAAGAAUUUCUUAUUGUGAUAAGAAUUGGCAUGCCAUCUGAGGUAAAGGAGUGCCAAACAGGAUUUUCCAUUCAGUCUCAAGACUAGAUAGAGCAUUAUAGAAUAGUAAUAAACAUUUUGGAUAACUUCCCUCCCCCCAAGUAAAAUCUCUGCUGCUAGCAUAUUUCAGCCUGUGGGUAGAGUACUUACUAUGUUUGGGACACAAAGCUAAUCACAGCCACCUGUUUGCUUUUGUGGAAGAGUAAUUAGAUCAGAAAAUACACUUUGAUGAAUUCAAGAAAAGCCAAGUCCAUUGAGUUUUAAGAGGUAUGACAACAAAAUCAAACACUGCUUUAUGGGCAGGAACAAAAGAUGAAGCAAAUUCCUUAAGAGAACAUGUCAGGAGUUCCUGCUUUGGUACAGUGGGUUAAGAAUCCGACUUGCAGGGAGAUCUCAAUGUGGCUCAGCGGGUUGAGGACCUGAUGUAAUCUCUGUGAGGAUGUGAGUUCCAAUCCCUGGCCUUGCUCAGUGGGUUAAGGAUCCUACAUUGCUGCAAGCUGCAGUGCAGGUCAUAGAUGCUGCUUGAUCUGGUAUUGCUAUAGCUGUGGCCUAGGCCCACAGCUGCAGCUCCAAUUCAACCCCUAGCUCGGGAAAUUCCAUAUCCCACAGAUGACCAUUAAAAAAAAAAAAAAAUCUGACUGCAGUGGCUUAGGUCACCAUGAAAGCCUGGGUUUGAGCCGAUCUGGUGCAGGGUUCAUGCAGCUGUGGAUCAGAUUCAAUCCCGAGCCUUGGAACUUCCAUAUACCACGAGUAAGACCAUUAAAAAAAAAAAAAAAAAAAAAGUCAGAAACUCAAUUUCAACAAGAUAAUUUGCAUUAAGGAACUUUAUGGAGUUCCUUGGGCUUUACCAUUUACUAUUAGGUCCACGUGCCAACACAGGAAUCCUUGCUACAGCAAGCCCUGAGAAGGCAAGCUCAUUUGUGGGAACAGAGAAGUUCACACUCAAGAAGCAGACUUUUUCAUUUUUGGACAGCUCUAUUGUCAAAAUUUCUUAUUUUCCUCUGGAAAAUAAUAAAUUUUAAUCCUUCCCUAUAAUUACACUUCAAAACAUUUGAUACUUGCAAUCAUGCCCUCCCUUAUCUAUCUUUUCCAGUGCAAACAUUACUGGUAAACUCAACUACUUUUAUGGCAUUGACUUUAACAAAACAGUGGAUAGGCCUAGGUAUAUUUAUGUGAUAUGCUUUAAGGUUUUUGCCAUAGAACUGAACACCAUGUAUAUUUCUCAAAUAGAUGGCUUGGCAUAUGAAUUUCUUUUUAUUUUUUACAUUAUGAAUAGUAUAGGUUAAUUUGUUUAUUUCUUAUAAAUCUGUAUUUAUGUGUAUAUAAAAUGCUGUACAAUGAAAUGUAAAUAUGACUUCUGGAAAGUUUUAGACUACAUUUAGAAUCCCUUUAUCCAAAAUCAAAAUGCUGCUCAGAUGAAAGUUAACGUCUAGGUGCUUACUUCUUGCUUUACUGCAAGCCUAAGAUUGGGAAGAAAAAAAUCAACAUGUGAAAUAUAUAAUUACCUUAAUUUUAUAUAUUUGUGCAGCAGAUUAUUUUUGUAGACUAGAGUGGGAAUUUAACUGGCAGUUUAUAACAUAGCUUAUAGCUUUUAAAAGACCUUUUAAAGAGAUUAGACUAUUAAAUGCUUAGAUUUGCUUUCAGACUUUUAAGGGAACUCUUUAAAGUCAUAUAAUGUAUUAUUUUAUUGGCAUUUAGCUUCUUGUUUAUGAAGUCUGGUUGUUAAAUUCUCUUGAUUUCUUAAGAACAGUUACUUAAAUUAGGCUUAGAAUAUAGGAUCUUUAUUUCAACCAAACAGAAUCAAAUUUGCCUUUGUAGGAGUUCCCAUUGUGGUACAGCAGAAAUGAAUCUGAUUAGGAACCAUGAGGUUGCGGGUUUGAUCCCUGGCCUUGCUCAGCGGGUUAAGGAUCCAGCAUUGUUGUGAGCUGUGGUUGCAGACGUGGCUUGGAUCUGGCGUGGCUGUGGCGUAGGCCAACAGCUGUAGCUCUGACUGGAUCCCUAGCCUGGGAACCUCCAUAUGCCAUGGGUGCGGCCCUAAAAAGCAAAAAAAAUCAAAAUUUAAAUUUGCCUUUGUAAUAAUAUAUUGCCCUUAGAAAAGGAAAAUUUGGAUAAUAAAACUUAGAUUGUUCUAUUUGCUUUCUUCUGCUUUUCAGAAGCCUGAACUCUUAAGCUCACAUUUGUAAAAGGAGAGAAGUAGGAGGGGAGAGGUAGAACCAACCACAGUAUUUUAUUUAUUUUUUUAAGACUUACUAAACCCAGAUUUUAAAACUAUUUUACAUGUCAAUUCUUCCCAGAAGCUUCAAAUGCAUUGUAUAUAUUAACCUUAAACAUAUUUUACGUAAAAUAGGUCACAAAGUUAUAUAGGCUUUCAGGUUUUAGGUUUAGUUCUCACAAUAAUAUACCAAUAUAUUUCAAUAAUAUACCAAUACCCAGGGCAGGUAUUAUAAUGAGGAACUUAUAUUUUCUGAAGAAUGAAAAAGACUUUAUGGUGGACUUUAACAUGUGAAAAUGAAUUUUUUUUUUAAUUUUUGUGAUUUAUUUUUUUCUGAAAGAAGGAAAAGAGAGACAUGUUGCAAUCAUCAGCAUCUUAAAGGUAUUCCCACUCAAGCCAAGGCUAAGUGCUUCAUGACAGUAUUAAGCAAGUCUUGUUUUGAAUGGAUUACCUAAUGACUCACUGGAAUGAUAUAAUUAACUACAGAAGUAAUGCCAAAACUAAGUCAAAACCUGAUAACCAAAGUAUCCCUCAUUAUAUCAUAUUUGGACCUAUCUGAACAUUUCAGCACUGCAAAAUAGUUUUGGUUUAUGACAUAUGGAUAGCUAUUUAAUAGUAAACCCAAGUUAGCUUUUUGUUUGUCAGUUUUUUUUUUUUAAUGAUGUAAGUUAAAUCUGUCCUUAUGGGAAGACAUUAUCACAGCAUGAUUUAAGAGAACAUUGGUUUUGUGAAGGAAAACUGAGUUCAUCUAAAGCCACUGCUAGGAUUCUUUUUAUAUAAAGAUUAAUGUGUAUGUGUUUAUAUUGACUUUGUGUAUUUCAUCUUAGCUAUACUAUCUUAGAAAGAUUUUACCAUGAGCCUAAGAUGUAAAUAAAUGAUUUUGCAAACA